rnacentral:rRNA from 1 species
UACGAGAGGUGCAAGCGUUAUUCGGAAUCAUUGGGCGUAAAGGGUGCGUAGACGGUUUACUAAGUCUGUUGUUAAAUCUUUCGGCUUAACUGAAAAUCAGCAGUGGAUACUGGUAGACUAGAGUGUGAAAGAGAGAAGUGGAAUUCUUGGAGUAGCGGUAAAAUGCGUAGAUCUCAAGAGGAACACCAAUGGCGAAGGCAGCUUCUUGGUUCACUACUGACGUUGAGGCACGAAAGCGUGGGGAGCAAACAGG